UUACGGCCAAACAACGAUGAAUACACCGGUUCUCCUUCGAUGGCCGAAGUGAAGCAUCGUAUAGCCUGGUCAGUACUUAAGUUGAGGAACCGCUUGGGAACACAUGGUACUGUAAG